CGCAUCUGUGCAUGCAGCAUAUCAAUAAGCGGAGGAAAAGAAACUAACAAGGAUUCCCCUAGUAACGGCGAGUGAAGCGGGAAGAGCUCAAAUUUGAAAUCUUAAAGGUUUUCCCUUGACGAAUUGUAGUUUAAAGAAGUGUUUUCUGUUGAAGUUUUGGUAAAAGUUCUUUGGAAUAGGACAUCAUAGAGGGUGAGAAUCCCGUAUUUGACCAUUUACUUUCAGCUUUGUGAUACACUUUCAAAGAGUCGGAUUGUUUGGGAAUGCAGUCCAAAAUGGGUGGUAAAUUUCAUCUAAAGCUAAAUAUUGGCGAGAGACCGAUAGCGAGCAAGUACCGUGAGGGAAAGAUGAAAGGAACUUUGAAAAGAGAGUUAAACAGUACGUGAAAUUGUCAAAAGGGAAGCGUUUGACACCAGUGUUGUUUUCUCGAAAAUCAAUUAAAAAUGGCUCGAUUUUGUAUUGCUGAGACCUUAAAAGCUCACUGUACAUUUUUCGUGUCUUUUUUAAUGCACUUUUCGUUUAACAAGUCAACAUCAGUUUCCUUUGUUGUAAAAGGGUCAUUGGAAGGUGGCUUUCUUUUCGGAGAAAGUGUUUAUAGCCUUUGGCCUCUGCAAUCGGAGAGACUGAGGUCUGCAGCGUAGACUCUUCGGGGUUAGAUACAUUUGUGCUAAGUUAUAGCUUUUUAUAGACAACUUGUUGACUAUAAUUAGUCUUGUAGCUUACUCGCUUAUGCUAUUUUACCUACGCUUAGGAUGUUGAUAGUCACAGCGUGUAC
rnacentral:rRNA from 1 species